rnacentral:piRNA from 1 species
UGUGACUGGCAUUGAGUGUUCUUAGCUGA